AUUGAACGCUGGCGGCAGGCCUAACACAUGCAAGUCGAGCGGAUGAAGGGAGCUUGCUCCUGGAUUCAGCGGCGGACGGGUGAGUAAUGCCUAGGAAUCUGCCUGGUCGUGGGGGCUAACGUCCGGAAACGGGCGCUAAUACCGCAUACGUCCUGAGGGAGAACGUGGGGGAUCUUCGGACCUCACGCUAUCAGAUGAGCCUAGGUCGGAUUAGCUAGUUGGUGGGGUAAAGGCCUACCAAGGCGACGAUCCGUAACUGGUCUGAGAGGAUGAUCAGUCACACUGGAACUGAGACACGGUCCAGACUCCUACGGGAGGCAGCAGUGGGGAAUAUUGGACAAUGGGCGAAAGCCUGAUCCAGCCAUGCCGCGUGUGUGAAGAAGGUCUUCGGAUUGUAAAGCACUUUAAGUUGGGAGGAAGGGCAGUAAGUGAAUACCUUGCUGUCUUGACGUUACCAACAGAAUAAGCACCGGCUAACUUCGUG
rnacentral:rRNA from 1 species